GACGUAGGUGGCGAACGUUAUCCGGAAUUAUUGGGCGUAAAGGGUGCGCAGAUGGCUUGAUAAGUUAGCAGUGGGAAAUCGAGGCUCAACCUCGUGGAAGCUGGUAAUACUGUCAGGCUCGAGUGCAGGAGAGGUUAACGGAACUCCAUGUGGAGCGGUAAAAUGUGUAGAUAUAUGGAAGAACACCAAUAACGGCGAAGGCAGUUAACUAUUCUGUUACUGACAUUGAGGCACGAAAGCGUGGGGAGCAAAACGG
rnacentral:rRNA from 1 species